GACGAACGCUGGCGGCGUGCCUAACACAUGCAAGUCGAACGGAGAUUUCAGCAAUGGAAUCUUAGUGGCGAACGGGUGAGUAACGCGUAGACAACCUGCCUUCUAGAUGGGGACAACACUGCGAAAGUGGUGCUAAUACCGAAUGUUGUAUUAAAGAUGCAUAUCUUAAAUACUAAAGGUGGCCUCUAUUUAUAAGCUACCACUAGAAGAUGGGUCUGCGUCUGAUUAGCUAGUUGGUGAGGUAAUGGCUCACCAAGGCGACGAUCAGUAGCCGGUCUGAGAGGAUGAACGGCCACACUGGGACUGAGACACGGCCCAGACUCCUACGGGUGGCUG
rnacentral:rRNA from 1 species